CCUUUGUUGGUGGUGCAGCUUGGGAGUCGGGCCCGUGUAGAGCCUCACUUCAUGAGAGAUGGUCAAUUUCGUGGAGUUUGGUCUAUGACGGGGGUGCGACUUUGCUUUAAGCGCGACCACAUUUAGUUCACUUCAUAUUUGGCGUCACAGGAACCGGGUGUUGUGCGUCCUCUUGCCCUGCGACUUGGAGACAGUCGGUGCUCCUCGCUGUUCUUGGUACCUGUGGAUCCAUCUGUUGGCCUGUCUGCGGGCUGCUGCUUAUAUAGCCUAAGUUGCCGAUUAAGAGAAUACGUGUGUGUGUGUGUGUGUGUGCGUGCGCGAAUGUGUGACGUUUUUCCUUUACUUUGAGUUCUUGGUUUGUUUUAAUAAGGAGAAAGUGAGAGUUCUCUGUUUGUUUUUGUUAAUUUUGUAUUUUCUUUCUUUUGUUUGUUUUGGCUCACCCCACACCACUUGGGCCGCCCAACGUGCGGGUUGCCCCCAAAUAGCUCUUGUUUGCCGUGCGUAAACGUAAAACACAAGUGUGCAGUGGUAUUGGUGUGGGUUUGCUGUGCUUUGUAUUUUCAUUUUAUUAUUUAAUUUUGGUUUGCUGUGCUGUGUACAACUAGUGGGGGAAAACAGUGGCCUCCUUGGCCCAUG